rnacentral:tmRNA from 1 species
GGGGGUGAAAGGUUUCGACAUGUUCUUGUGACUUCGGAGCAGCAUGCAGAGGGCUCAGGUGGCCUCUUUAAAAACCUGAAAAACAAUAAACGCAAAGUACAAUCCAGUAGCCGAAGCUGAAUCUAUCUUAGCUUCGGAUGCGUUAAAUGUUCCUGCUUUAGCGGGGACUGGUUCAUUAGUCGGCGCCUUGGCCUACUAAUUGAACCCAACUAACAAGGACUCCUGGGGUGAUUUCUCCUAACUUCAGGUAGUAUCAGGAGAAUGCUUCCAGAAGAUAUCCUGCCAACCGGAUCUUCUGGGAAAAGAUCAAAGAUUGGAUAAGCAUGUAGAUACUCCCUUGUUAGAGUUCGUGGACCCGGGUUCGAGUCCCGGCACCUCCACCA